rnacentral:rRNA from 1 species
AUUGAACGCUGGCGGAAGGCCUAACACAUGCAAGUCGAGCGGCAGCACGGAGGUUGCUCCUGGAUGCCGCGGCGGGCAGGGGAGUGAAACAUAGCAAACUGCAUGCUGGUGGGGGGUAUAACUAGGAGAAGGGCUCGAAUACCGCAUACGUGCUGAGGGGGAAAGAGGGGGGGCUUGGAACCCCACGCUCUCAGAUAAGCCUAGGUCGGAUUAGCUAGUUGGUGGGGUAAAGGCCUACCAAGGCGACGAUCCGUAACGGGUCUGAGAGGAUGAGCAGCCACACUGGAACUGAGACACGGUCCAGACUCCUACGGGAGGCAGCAGUGGGGAAUAUUGGACAAUGGGCGAAAGCCUGAUCCAGCCAUGCCGCGUGUGUGAAGAAGGUCUUCGGAUUGUAAAGCUCUUUAAGUUGGGAGGAAGGGCAGUGAGUUAAUACCUUGCUGUUUUGACGUUACCAACAGAAGAAGCACCGGCUAACUUCGUG